UGGGGUCGAUAUCUCAAAAGAUUAGAGCAUGUGACUACAAACCAAUAGUGUCCAAAAUGAAAUUAGGUUUUCCUCUAGAGUAGAAAUUUAUGAUUGGGAUCAAAUUCAAUGCUCGAACUAUAGACAGUUGAUUAAGAGUUAUUAUAACAAGAAUAGCUUUUAAUGAUAAUAAAUGUCUACAUUAACAAAAAAUAUUAAAAUCUUUAUUGUCAUUUGAUUUAGUUUCGCUAUAGGCUUUAGAUAUAUUUAUAAAAAGUCAUUUCAGUUUGACUUUUUAUUUUGACUUAAAAAUAACUUUUUUAAAUCAAUUCAAACGGGAUCUAUAUAUAAGAGUAGCAUUAUCUGAAGAAGAAUCAAAAAACAAGAAUGGCAAAAAGCAACCAAAAACCUCAUGCAAUAGUAAUUCCAUGCCCAUUUCAAGGCCACAUAAACCCUAGUAUUCACCUUUCACUAAAACUUGCAACAAAAGGCUUUACCAUAACAUUUAUCAACACAAAGUAUAGCCAUGCCCAAAUAACCAAAUCACAAAAAUUAGACCAAACUCAUAACAUAUUUGCAAAAUUUCAAGAACUUGGCCUUGACAUACAUUAUCAAACAGUUUGUGAUGGUUUUCCCUUAGAAUUCGAUCGAUUUUCGGGGUCGAAUACCGAGAAGUUUUGGGAAGGAUUUUUACUAAAUUACCCUUUUCAUGUUGAUGAAAUUGUUGGGAAGUUAGUAGAAUUGGAUAGCCCUAGGCCAACUUGUUUGAUUGUUGACACUUUCUAUGGUUGGGGGACAACAAUUGCUAAUAAGUAUGGACUUGUUAGUGUUUCAUUCUUCACUCAACCUGCCUUGGUGUUUACUAUAGACUAUCAUCUUGACCUUUUGCUCAAAAAUGGUCAUUUUGGCUAAAUUGAUAAUAGGAAGGAUACCAUAUAUUCUAUACCAGGAAUUUCAGCAAUUGAUCCAAGUGAUUUACCUUCAUAUUUACAAACAAAAGAGACAUCAACUAUUCUUCAUCAAAUUAUCUACAAAGGUUUUGAAGAAGCCAAGAAAUCAGACAUUAUAAUUUGUAACACAAUACAAGAACUUGAAUCCAAAGUAAUUUCAAUAUUCCAAGAAAAAACAAAAAAACCCUUUUUUGCUAUUGGUCCAAUUUUUCAUGAUCAUCAAGUCAACUCAUCAAAAAAUGUCAAAUUUUCCAAUAGUUUUUUGCCAGAGACAAAUUGUUUGGAAUGGCUAAACACUAAACCUAAA